AACUCGCCAUGUUUUCACCAUGUACUGAAAAUAUAAUAUCCAUGGCAGACAGCUGAGUCACUAGGCAGGUAUUGUUCAAUAUUGUGCUAUCCCACGAUCAACAUUUCCAGUGCGCUAUUAGUUUGUUUGUUAAAGCUUCUAUAAAACUAGUAGCUACUGUAUGACAACACUACUCAUACUGACAAUGUCACUCUCAUGACUUGCCUUUUUGGACACAAAAUAUAAGGUUAGAACAGAAUUUGUCUCUAAUUUGAUUUGUCCUUUAUAUUUACCUCUCAUCUGGAUCAUUUAAGGAAAUGCAUAGCAGGAGGGAUUAAAAGGCACAGAAAUCAAGCAGAGAGCACAUUGACCCUUGAAGCACAUUACUAAGGGGAUUAAUUAUCUUUUAAGCCUUUCUUUUAGAUGUGAUAAUUGUAAUGGGAUGAUCUACGUGGAGGUCUUCAAACAAGAGCAUGCGUGUGUGACCAACCUGAACACAUGUGAACAAAUACAGAGGAAUGGUUAUUAGAAAGUGACUUGUGGCUCAAAAAUGGUCGAGAAGCCUGUAACAGUCAGUGUGAGACAGAUUCCAUUUAACAAAUUGCAGACUACAUGACCAGGUUCAAGUAUUUCUCUACUGUUUGAGAAAUUUCAUUUUCUGGAGGUUCCAAACAAAUAAAUCCUAAAACAGAAGGGACAAGAGAAGCUACAGUUCAUAAAAACAUAAGGAUAAUGGAAUUGAUAGAAGAAAACAGCAGUGCGGAGAAAACUAAAGAAAAAAAAUUCAAAAGGUGUGUAUAACAUAGAAUACUUUCUGAAAACUGGAAAUCAUCUAACAAAAAAUUACACAGUUGUGUGAUAUGAAUAUUCUUGUAAUAAUGGCCCAUUUGAAUGCUUUUCCACCGUCAUUCUUCCCUACACUGUGUCCAAUAUUAUUUGAUACAUGUUUCAUGUUUUUCAUAUCACAAAAAAAUAGAAAAUCUGGGGCUAUGAGAAAAGAACAAACAUAUCAAGAAUCAUUUAUGAACACAGUGUAGCUAAUAUUUUUUGAGUGGGGGGGUUGUGAGUCACAAACAGCAUGAACAGUCUGCUGCACCUACUGACACAACCACUGGGGUAACCCUCAUGUUACUACCAUGUUGGGGUUUGUGGUAGCUCCAUGGUUCCUCAGUGUCUACUAAAGAGGUUGACGGAUGCAAUAAUGCUAAGGGGCUGCUUUAUCAAUGUCUGAAUUCAGAUAUGCCAUUAUACGAUUUUUGUUUUUGCUAAAACUCAUGAAUUUUGCAAAUGAUGAGUAGAAUACAAAUUUGAUGCAAUCAAGUUUUUUUUUUUUCACGUUUCUUGUAGAUUCGAGUUUGGACAAUUUUAGGGUUUAUUCGAAUUAAAAAAUAACUCUAAAAUGCACUCAUUUGAAUUUUGACAAAUAGGCCUCCCUGUGUAACUAUAGGAAAGUGGACACAGGUAACUCUAAUGGAUAGCUUUAAUGAUCACACCAUUUGCAUCCAUGAAGCUCAUGUGUUGCUAUUUGUGUUUGUAAAUUACCCUUAUCUUAAUUUUAGGUAGUGAUUAUAUUUUAUCUCCCCUUAAAUAGACAAUUAACAAUAGAUAAGGCAAGGAUGAUUUAAUUUUUUCCUUUAAUUUGCAUUUAUGCAUUUUAGGGGCAACUGACAUACAGUAGGAUAUAUUCAGGGCCAUCAGUGUUCCCUGCCAUGGUCCCCUUUUAAUAAUUUCAAAGAAGCAGUAAGCAAAAGGUUCCUCUGAUUGAUAAAGACUUCUGAUCAAUGCGGUCUGAUCAAAUUGUUUCUACAUCAGAUGAUAACCCCAUAGAAUGAUACUCAUACAGUUGGAUUGGAGUCUGAGUAUGGCCAACUUAUGGUCCCACAAAACUGAAAGAAUUCUGUAGCAAGUAUAACUACUUAGUAGCAUUAACAGAUAAAAAUAGAAUUGCUUUUAUAAAUUAAAGUAGAAUUAUUCUUGGUUUCUGAAUAAAAUAAUGUUUAACUGAAUUAA